GAUUAUGGCUCAGAUUGAACGCUGGCGGCAGGCUUAACACAUGCAAGUCGAGCGGGAAGAGUAGCUUGCUACUUACCUAGCGGCGGACGGGUGAGUAAUGCUUAGGAAUCUGCCUAUUAGUGGGGGACAACAUCUCGAAAGGGAUGCUAAUACCGCAUACGUCCUACGGGAGAAAGCAGGGGACCUUCGGGCCUUGCGCUAAUAGAUGAGCCUAAGUCGGAUUAGCUAGUUGGUGGGGUAAAGGCCUACCAAGGCGACGAUCUGUAGCGGGUCUGAGAGGAUGAUCCGCCACACUGGGACUGAGACACGGCCCAGACUCCUACGGGAGGCAGCAGUGGGGAAUAUUGGACAAUGGGGGGAACCCUGAUCCAGCCAUGCCGCGUGUGUGAAGAAAGGCCUUUUAGUUGUAAAGCACUUUAAGCGAGGAGGAGGCUACCGAGAUUAAUACUCUUGGAUAGUGGACGUUACUCGCAGAAUAAGCACCGGCUAACUCUGUGCCAGCAGCCGC
rnacentral:rRNA from 1 species